rnacentral:rRNA from 1 species
AACGAACGCUGGCGGCAUGCCUAACACAUGCAAGUCGAACGAGACCUUCGGGUCUAGUGGCGCACGGGUGCGUAACGCGUGGGAACCUGCCCUUAGGUUCGGAAUAACUCCCCGACAGGGGUGCUAAUACCGGAUAAUGUCUUCGGACCAAAGAUUUAUCGCCUUUGGAUGGGCCCGCGUUGGAUUAGCUAGUUGGUAGGGUAAAAGCCUACCAAGGCGACGAUCCAUAGCUGGUCUGAGAGGAUGAUCAGCCACACUGGGACUGAGACACGGCCCAGACUCCUACGGGAGGCAGCAGUGGGGAAUAUUGGACAAUGGGCGAAAGCCUGAUCCAGCAAUGCCGCGUGAGUGAUGAAGGCCUUAGGGUUGUAAAGCGCUUUUACCCGGGAUGAUAAUGACAGUACCGGGAGAAUAAGCUCCGGCUAACUCCGUG